CUGUAUGGAAAAAGAUUUACAAGAAGAGGAAGUUGUAAUCCCUUUUAAUUGGGUAGAUGGUAAAACUGUUUACUGGCCACAGGGUACCAAUCCUUUGAAUGCAAUGAAGUGUCAUCAAAAUCCUGGGAAAAAUUGGCUGAAGUUUCCGCUAAUAAAACUUCAGGUUCCAAUAUCAAAGAUCUAGAUGAAGUAUCAAUGCACCUUAUGUCUAGCAGUUCACCAAACUUAUCUAGAGGUAUCAUCAAUCUUAUCUAGAGGUAUCAAAAAAAAAAUAUCUGAUAUAAAGGAUAUAUCAUAAAACAGAAACAAGGUCUGUAAUUUUUUGACGACUUCAAAGUCUUUUAGGUCGGCAGUAAGGUUGGCAUUGCCGAAUGCCGACCCUUAUCCCGAGGGUUUCACAUAUAAAUA
rnacentral:misc_RNA from 1 species